rnacentral:rRNA from 1 species
UAUGUGAUCGUCUCUUGCAUAUCAAUAAGCGGAGGAAAAGAAACUAACAAGGAUUCCCCUAGUAACGGCGAGUGAAGCGGGAAGAGCUCAAAUUUGAAAUCUUAAAGGGUUUCCCUUUACGAAUUGUAGUUUAAAGAAGUGUUUUCUGUUGAGGUUUUGGUAAAAGUUCUUUGGAAUAGGACAUCAUAGAGGGUGAGAAUCCCGUAUUUGACCUUUACUUUCAACUUUGUGAUACACUUUCAAAGAGUCGGAUUGUUUGGGAAUGCAGUCCAAAAUGGGUGGUAAAUUUCAUCUAAAGCUAAAUAUUGGCGAGAGACCGAUAGCGAACAAGUACCGUGAGGGAAAGAUGAAAAGAACUUUGAAAAGAGAGUUAAACAGUACGUGAAAUUGUCAAAAGGGAAGCGUUUGACACCAGUGUUGUUUUUCUGAAAAUCAAUUAAAGAACUGUUUAUGCUAAGCUGUUUAGACUUUAUCAGCUAUCUGUUUAGUUUUGAGCUUUUCUUUAAUGCACUUUUCAGUUAACAAGUCAACAUCAAUUUCUUUUGCUGUAAAAAAGCUUGAGGAAGGUGGCUUGAGAUUCGUCUUAAGUGUUUAUAGCCUCUUGCCUAUGCAGUCGGAGAGAUUGAGGUCUGCAGCGUAGAUCCUUCGGGGCUAAAUGCAUUUGUGCUAAGUUAUAGCAUUUUAUAGACAACUUGUUGACUAUGAUUUGUCUUGUAGCUUACUCGCUUAUGUUAUUUUACCUACGCUUAGGAUGUUGAGUAGCGACAUACGCAC